rnacentral:lncRNA from 1 species
GUCUGGCCAAGUCUCCUUCACCUCGGGCCCAGGAAGUGGCUUUCCAGCUGGCUCAGAAUUGGAUCCGAACCAACUUUGAUGUCUACUCAAUACAUCAGCUAUGUAUGAGAAGGUGAGCUGGCCGGGAGCCCAGUCCCACAGGGGUUCCUCCCCAGGUGACAUGGGGAACUGUCAGGCUUGCAAAGCCCAGGCCCAGCACAGCCAGGGACGGGGCGGCGCCCGGUGGCCAUUCUUGGGCACUGCAAGGAUCGGAGCUGCAGCCCAGAGCAGCUUCUCCCAAAGGGGCUCCCAUUUCUUGCUUCCACGAGAGGGCUGCGUGGGGAGGCUGGAGGUAGCACCUGACCUUAAAGCCCAUCCUCUUGUCCCCAGUAUGACAUCAGCAACGGUGGACAGCCAGGCGGUGGAGGGGAGUACGAAGUUCAGGAAGGGUUUGGCUGGACCAACGGAGUGGUCCUCAUGCUCCUGGACCGCUAUGGUGACCGGCUGAGCUCAGGCACUUGGACAGUUUUCCUGGAGCCUCACUGCCUCGCAGCUUCCCUUCUACUUAGCCUCCUGCUCAGCCUCCUGCCACAGUGACGGCCCGUCUGCCCUCACUUCCUCCUCUGGCUCCAGCUCCUGCCUCAUUAAACCUCUACCUGAGUCCCUACCUUCUCCUGCCUCUUCAUCCUCCAUCCCUGGAGACUCCAUGCCCUCCUAUGCCCCCAGCCAGUCCUCAGUCAUCGUCAGGUGGAGGCAGGGUAGGGACCUGGAGGUCAUGGGUUGGGCCCUGGGUCCCGCCUGGAACAUUUAACAAGGUGGAGAUCCUGCUUAGUGAGGAAGACCUAGCCCUCCUACCCCACAUAGCCCAGCCAGGUGGGCUCCACAACCUGGACUCCCAAGACCUAGCCCUCCUACCCCAUAUACCCCGCCCAAUGCCCCCCAUAACCUUGCCUCCCAAAUGCUUUAUUUUUCUUCUUAGACGCUCACAAAUACUGAAAAUCACCCACCCCUGAGUCCCCGGCUACAAUGGGCCCCAAGUGCCAUGAGGGAGGGCAGGGAACUAGGGUCAGAACGAGUCUUAGUUACCGACCUCCUGAACUAUCCCUUCAAAUGAGUCCAAAUCUGAAUGUAUUAGUUUAGAGCAUUUUAAGCCCUUGGGUCCUUUUGAAAACAGUUGAACGCUAGCUGACAGUUAUCUUAUCAGCUGAGUGCGCUCAGAUAAGAGAGGAAGAAAGAUCUGCCAGGACCACUGUCAUCCCAGGGUGACUGUGGGCAUGACCAAAGCUGGAGAGACAUCAUAGGCAUAACACUGAGGGAGGGACAUAGACUUCACUAAUUAAAGCAGCCAGUCACUCCACAAAUAAACAAGCAAACGACAAUGACA